CACCUCAGGCUCAGACCACAGAUACCCAACUCGGCAGCGGGAGCAUCAGGGGCCAGGCCUAGUUCUACUUGUGGAGUGGGGUCAAGAUGUUCUUCUUAUAGUAAAGGUUCAGGAGUAACUGUGACGCCCAGGACUCCUGACUUUUGGACCCUUCAGAAAAAGGUGAAGAAAAGAAAUGAGCGAUUUAAUUCAAACAAAGACCCAGGAAACACCAGCUUCAUUACUUGAAAUUCUGUCUUCCUUUUUAUUAGGUGGGGCUUUUCCUGAUGCUGGGCUAUUGCCUUAAAAGUCAUACCUGUUAUAGUUGAGCAUGAUUGGAAAGCUGUGAAAGGUACCUACGAUGGCAAGAAAGGGCAGAAGGAAGAUUUGACAAAGUCAUGUUUGAAGUCAGGUAAUGGAAACAGAAUGUUUUGAGGUUAAUCUUCCCAGAGUUCUGAUGCCCACAUCACUGAUUGUCCUUUGCUUCUAGCCUUUGCUUCUCACCUUGCUGACUGGUUCUGCACUCACCCACGUCCUCGUCAUCACCAAUGUCCUUGUCGUGGGAGAGGCAUCCGUCUUCAUCAGACAGAGGCUCAUCUCUAAUCUAGAGCAACAAAUUGGUCACAAACAGAAAGUGGUUAACUUAGUUAAAAUUACCACAACGGCCUCCAGAAACUGACAGAAGCAAAAAAA